rnacentral:rRNA from 1 species
CAGCCGCCGCGGUAACACAGAGGGUGCGAGCGUUAAUCGGAUUUACUGGGCGUAAAGCGUGCGUAGGCGGCUUUUUAAGUCGGAUGUGAAAUCCCUGAGCUUAACUUAGGAAUUGCAUUCGAUACUGGGAAGCUAGAGUAUGGGAGAGGAUGGUAGAAUUCCAGGUGUAGCGGUGAAAUGCGUAGAGAUCUGGAGGAAUACCGAUGGCGAAGGCAGCCAUCUGGCCUAAUACUGACGCUGAGGUACGAAAGCAUGGGGAGCAAACAGGAUUAGAUACCCCUGUAGUCCCUGUCUCUUAUAC